GGGGAGACCAGCAGCCCCCGAGCCCCAGGACAACCAGCUGAGUCUGUUCUCACAGGAGCCAUGGCGCAGAGACUGGGAAGCAUGGUUCCAACACAGCAGGAUUCCCGGCUUUGUCUCCUUCUGCUGCUGGGGCUCUUGGGAAUGGUGAUCUCAUUCCAUGUCCCACCAGGGUUAACCAAGGCUCAGUGGUUUGAAAUUCAGCACAUAAAUAUGACACACAACCGAUGCGAUGAUGCAAUGAGAGCGGUUAACUGGUAUUGGAAAAGAUGCAAAGAUAAGAACACAUUCCUCAAUGCGACGUUUGCUUUUGUAGCUAAUGUUUGUAGCACCGCAAAUGUAACCUGCUCGAACCGCUCAACAAAUUGUCAUAAUAGCCCAGUUCGGGUAAAUAUAACAUACUGCAACCUCACAGCACCGGCACCACGAUAUACAAAAUGUAGAUAUGGACAGACACAGGCACAGAUGUACUUCAGAGUUGCCUGUAACAACAGUUCACCAAGGGACAAUGGCACCUAUCGAGUGGUUCCAGUUCACCUGGAUGCGAUUUUCUAACCUCUGGGUCAGCGCUUUGUGAGAAGCUCAUCUGCCAGGCCACACAGUCACAGCCACGGUCCCACCCCACCAUCCACCCCGGAUAUCAGCAUCAGUCAUCAUCGCGCCAGCCCUCGACCCCCUCUAAGCUUUGCUGAGCUGAAGCUCCUUAUUCUUCUUGCAAUAAACUUCUUUACAGAAUCA